rnacentral:rRNA from 1 species
UACGAGGGGGGCAAGCGUUGUUCGGAAUUAUUGGGCGUAAAGGGUGCGUAGGCGGUUUGAUAAGUCUGAUGUGAAAUCCCUGGGCUCAACCCAGGGCCUGCAUCGGAAACUGUCGUGCUUGAGUAUGGGAGAGGUGAGUGGAAUUUCCGGUGUAGCGGUGAAAUGCGUAGAUAUCGGAAGGAACACCUGUGGCGAAAGCGGCUCACUGGACCAUUACUGACGCUGAGGCACGAAAGCUAGGGGAGCAAACAGG